UGAACGCUAGCGGGAGGCUUAACACAUGCAAGUCGAGGGGUAACAGGAGAGAACUUCGGUUUUCUUGCUGACGACCGGCGCACGGGUGAGUAACGCGUAUGCAACCUGCCUCUUACUGGAGGAUAGCUUUCGGAAACGGAAAUUAAUACUCCAUACAGAUAUAAAAUGGCAUCAUUUAAUAUUUAAAGCUCCGGCGGUAAGAGAUGGGCAUGCGUAACAUUAGCUAGUUGGUAAGGUAACGGCUUACCAAGGCAACGAUGUUUAGGGGACCUGAGAGGGUGAUCCCCCACACUGGUACUGAGACACGGACCAGACUCCUACGGGAGGCAGCAGUGAGGAAUAUUGGUCAAUGGGCGCAAGCCUGAACCAGCCAUCCCGCGUGCAGGAAGACAGCCCUAUGGGUUGUAAACUGCUUUUAUAAGGGAAGAAUGUACGUAUCGUGAUAUGUUUUGACGGUACCUUAUGAAUAAGCAUCGGCUAACUCC
rnacentral:rRNA from 1 species